rnacentral:rRNA from 1 species
AAUGAACGCUGGCGGCGUGCUUAACACAUGCAAGUCGUACGAGAAAUCUUCUGCUUGCAGAGGAGAGUAGAGUGGCGCACGGGUGAGUAACGCGUGGGUAAUCUUCCUCCAAAUCUGGAAUAACGUGCCGAAAGGCGUGCUAAUACCGGAUGACAUUCUUCGGUUCUCGAACCGAAGAAUUAAAGGUGGCCAAUACUUGUAAGCUACUGUUUGGAGAUGAGCCCGCGUACCAUUAGCUUGUUGGUGAGGUAACGGCUCACCAAGGCGACGAUGGUUAGCUGGUCUGAGAGGAUGAUCAGCCACACUGGAACUGACACACGGUCCAGACUCCUACGGGAGGCAGCAGUGAGGAAUUUUGCGCAAUGGGGGAAACCCUGACGCAGCAACGCCGCGUGAGUGAUGAAGGCCUUCGGGUCGUAAAGCUCUGUCGAGUGGGAAGAACUGGCUUUGAUUUAAUACAUCAAGGCCUUGACGGUACCACUAAAGGAAGCACCGGCUAACUCCGUGC